AGUGAACGCUGGCGGUAGGCCUAACACAUGCAAGUCGAACGGCAGCACAGUAAGAGCUUGCUCUUACGGGUGGCGAGUGGCGGACGGGUGAGGAAUACAUCGGAAUCUACUUUUUCGUGGGGGAUAACGUAGGGAAACUUACGCUAAUACCGCAUACGACCUACGGGUGAAAGCAGGGGAUCUUCGGACCUUGCGCGAUUGAAUGAGCCGAUGUCGGAUUAGCUAGUUGGCGGGGUAAAGGCCCACCAAGGCGACGAUCCGUAGCUGGUCUGAGAGGAUGAUCAGCCACACUGGAACUGAGACACGGUCCAGACUCCUACGGGAGGCAGCAGUGGGGAAUAUUGGGCAAUGGGCGCAAGCCUGAUCCAGCCAUACCGCGUGGGUGAAGAAGGCCUUCGGGUUGUAAAGCCCUUUUGUUGGGGAAGAAAAGCAGCAGGUUAAUACGCCGCUGUUCUGACGGUACCCAAAGAAUAAGCACCGGCUAACUUCGUG
rnacentral:rRNA from 1 species